CGGUAAUUCCUGCUCCAAUAGCGUAUACUAAAGUUGUUGCAGUUAAAAAGCUCGUAGUUGGAUUUCUGCGGGGACGGAGCGGCCGGACGCAACUUGCGUCUCGAGCUAGCGCUUUCCCCGCAUCCUGCCGCGAACCGUGCUACCAUUAGUUUGGUGGCGCUGGGGGUCGGCUCGAUUACUUUGAGAAAAAUAGAGUGUUCAAAGCAGGCCACACGCCUUGAAUAAGUUAGCAUGGAAUAAUGACUAAGGACUUCGGUUCUAUUUUGUUGGUGUUCGGGACUGAAGUAAUGAUUGAUAGGGACAGUUGGGGCGGUCUGUAUUCCAAAGCGAGAGGUGAAAUUCUUAGACCUUCGGAAGACAAACAGCUGCGAAAGCGUUCCGCAAGGAUGUUCCCUUUGAUCAAGAACGAAAGUUGGGGGAUCGAAGACGAUCAGAUACCGUCGUAGUCUCAACUAUAAACUAUACCAGCUAGGGAUCGGUCAACGUUUAAUUAUUCGACUUGAUCGGCACCUUAUGAGAAAUCAAAGCAUCUGGGUUCCGGGGGGAGUAUGGUCGCAAGGCUGAAACUUAAAGGAAUUGACGGAAGGGCACCACCAGCCGUGGAGCCUGUGGCUUAAUUUGACUCAACACGGGAAAACUUACCAGGUCCAGACAUAGUAAGGAUUGACAGAUUGAUAGCUCUUUCUUGAUUCUGUGGGUGGUGGUGCAUGGCCGUUCUUAGUUGGUGGAGUGAUUUGUCUGGUUAAUUCCGUUAACGAACGAGACCCCAGCCUGCUAAAUAGCGCGGCUGAGCUUUGCUCGGUGCGAGCUUCUUAGAGGGACUAUGAUGCGCGAUAGCACAUGGAAGUUUGGGGCAAUAACAGGUCUGUGAUGCCCUUAGAUGUUCUGGGCCGCACACGGGCUACACUGGCGCCUGCAACGAGCAUAUCAGCUGGCCCGAGAGGGUCUUGGCUAAUCUUUUGAACCGGCGCCGUGCUUGGGAUUGACCUUUGCAAUUGUUGGUCAUGCAACGAGGAAUGCCUUGUAAACGCGAGUCAUCAGCUCGCAUUGAAUACGUCCCUGCCCUUUGUACACACCGCCCGUCGCUCCUACCGAUGAAUGUUCCGAUGAAAUUUUCGGAGAGCGCCAGAGAACGGGGCUCUGCCUUGCAGAUCUGGAGGCUCAAAGUCACUUAAAUCUGAACAUUUCGAGGAAGGAGAAGUCGUAACAAGGUAACC
rnacentral:rRNA from 1 species